rnacentral:rRNA from 1 species
GAUGAACGCUGGCGGCGUGCCGAAUACAUGCAAGUCGAGCGAACGGACGAGAAGCUUGCUUCUCUGAUGUUAGCGGCGGACGGGUGAGUAACACGUGGAUAACCUACCUAUAAGACUGGGAUAACUUCGGGAAACCGGAGCUAAUACCGGAUAAUAUUUUGAACCCCAUGGUUCAAAAGUGAAAGACGGUCUUGCUGUCACUUAUAGAUGGAUCCGCGCUGCAUUAGCUAGUUGGUAAGGUAACGGCUUAACAAGGCAACGAUGCAUAGCCGACCUGAGAGGGUGAUCGGCCACACUGGAACUGAGACACGGUCCAGACUCCUACGGGAGGCAGCAGUAGGGAAUCUUCCGCAAUGGGCGAAAGCCUGACGGAGCAACGCCGCGUGAGUGAUGAAGGUCUUCGGAUCGUAAAACUCUGUUAUUAGGGAAGAAAAUAUGUGUAAGUAACUGUGCACAUCUUGACGGUACCUAAUCAGAAAGCCACGGCUAACUACGUG